GGGGAAUCUUGGACAAUGGGCGCAAGCCUGAUCCAGCCAUGCCGCGUGAGUGAAGAAGGCCUUAGGGUUGUAAAGCUCUUUUACCAGGGACGAUAAUGACGGUACCUGGAGAAUAAGCCCCGGCAAACUUCGUGCCAGCAGCCGCGGUAAUACGAAGGGGGCUAGCGUUGUUCGGAAUUACUGGGCGUAAAGCGCACGUAGGCGGGUCGUUAAGUCAGGGGUGAAAUCCCGGAGCUCAACUCCGGAACUGCCUUUGAUACUGGCGAUCUAGAGAUCGAGAGAGGUGAGUGGAAUUCCGAGUGUAGAGGUGAAAUUCGUAGAUAUUCGGAAGAACACCAGUGGCGAAGGCGGCUCACUGGCUCGAUACUGACGCUGAGGUGCGAAAGCGUGGGGAGCAAAC
rnacentral:rRNA from 1 species